AGAGUAAAAUAGUACGUGAAAUUGUUGAAAGGGAAACGAUUGAAGUCAGUCGUACCGACGAGAAAUCAGCUUUUCGAGUGUGAACUUGUGGGCGUGCGUGAGUCUUUAACGGGCCUCGCUGUUUGCAAUGUUUGUGCUUUUUGAGUGUACUUUUUCGUAUGGUAGGCCAACGUCAGUUUCGGUUACCAUAAAAUGAUCGGAGGAAUGUAGCUUCGAUCUCGUAUUGAAGUGUUAUAGCCUCUGGUAGAUGUGGUAACCGAAACUGAGGAUUGCAACGAAUACCCUUUGGGCUAUCCGUCUGACCUCUGAAAGUUACUUAGGUGCCGAAAGCUUGCUUACGGUCAUUUAAGUUGACGGUCAACAGGUUAGAACGUGAUUACAUUCGUUAAGGACGUUGGCGUAAUGGCUUUAAACGACC
rnacentral:rRNA from 1 species